CAUUCUUCAAUGUUUUCAGAAGUCUUUGAUUAUCCUCGCUUUAUGUCUGAAUCACUGAUAUUGAGAAGUGCUUAAGAGUGGCAGGAUUUGAGGAUAAAUUUGAUGUGGAACAACAUACGUAGAUAAAUAGGUUUUAAAUGAUUGCUUCAGCUGCAUCCCUGAUUUUUUCCUGUCUAGUUUUCAUCUUUAGGACUAUUUUUGUUUUACACUAGUGAGACUGUUGUUUUCCUGGUUGUUUUGGCCGUCACAAUGUCCAGACUCGGUCUUUAUGGUUAUGCUCUUUUUUAAAAUGCUGUUUCUAAAAAUCUGCCUGCUAAAACAGCAUGCCAAUAAAAGGACAGUUCAAGUUUUCU